rnacentral:rRNA from 1 species
UUCGAGUGGCGGACGGGUGAGUAACGCGUGGGUAACCUGCCUUACACAGGGGGAUAACACCUGGAAACAGGUGCUAAUACCGCAUAAGCGCACAGGGCCGCAUGGCCCGGUGUGAAAAACUCCGGUGGUGUAAGAUGGACCCGCGUCUGAUUAGCUUGUUGGCGGGGUAGGGCCCACCAAGGCGACGAUCAGUAGCCGGCCUGAGAGGGUGGACGGCCACAUUGGGACUGAGACACGGCCCAGACUCCUACGGGAGGCAGCAG